CAAACUCUCAAGUGGCCUAAUUCCCUCUCACCAAACCAAUCACAAUACAGAUAAAAGAGAAUAACUUGUAUUCAUUUUUGUACAAACAAAAAAGAUAUAAAUCGUGAAUGAUGCAUGAUUUUUAAUUACAGGUAAACUGGGCAAAUGCUUCUGUAUUAUUUAAAGCUAAAAGGUGAUCAGUGGAAACUUUCCUCUGUUAGUACUCUAAUACUUUUUAUAUUUAUCGGCUCACUACAACCUGUGCCUCCCAGGUUCAAGCGAUUCUCCUGUCUCA
rnacentral:lncRNA from 10 species